rnacentral:lncRNA from 1 species
CUAGAUAAGGAGACUCUAUAUACAUAUAAACCCCUUUUCCCGUGUCACAAUCAGAGCAGAGCUUCACCGACGACUCGACAUCGAAUACCACAAAACCUGUAAAUCUGGACCCCCAACGGUCCAGCACAUAACACAUAAAAGAGAGUUAGAUAACAUACUCAAAAUAUACAAGUGUAAGUAAAUGGUACUUAAACACUUCUUCAUAAAAACAUGCAUAAUCAUACAUUAUACAUAUACAUC